AGAAUAGUAUUUGACUAUAUUGAACUGGCAAAUCUCCUUGUAUUUGAUAUUUGUACUAAUCAAGAAGACUCGUUUACAAAAGCCAUUAUUCACAAAAGGAAGCCAUAUUGGUGUAUAAGUAUCACCCUACCACUAUUACUGCUACUGCUACUCAAGAACCAUUCACAUUGUCAUUGUCACAUUGUCAAGAACUAGUAACUACUACUGAUCACCAUUGUCACAUUGUCAUGAACUACUACUACUACUGAUCACCAUUGAUCCAAGAAAAUUCAAAAUAGAUUCUAACCGUUUCCACCAACAGCAGCAGCAGCACCACCACCACCAGGCAUAGCAUUACCACCAGGCACAGCACCACCACCACCAGGAAUAGCAAUACCACCAGCACCAGCAGCAGGCAUAGCAUUACCACCAGGACCACCACCAGCAGCAGGCAUAUCAUUACCACCAGCACCACCAGCACCACCACCAGCAGGCAUAUCAUUACCACCAGCACCACGCCCACGACCACGCCCACGCCCACGACCACGACCACGCCCACGCCCACGACCACGACCACCAGCAGGGAUAGCAUUACCAUCGGCACCAACACCAGCAGGCACAACAUUACCACCAGCAGGCACAGCAGCAUCAGCAUCAUCAUCACUCUCACUCUCAGUAUCAGGAUAAUCAUCCUCAGACGAUGAUGAACCGCCUUCAACCCAUUCAUACGGUGAAGGACAACCAUCAAAAGCAAAAGCAUGCUCAUCUAUGACUUUUUGAUAUUCUUCAGGAGUAUAAUCAUUCUUAAUACAAAAUUUCUCACGAAUCUCGUCUGGUGUACACUCACUCAAGAAUUUAGCAACAUAUUUACAAGUAAGAUCCAACAAACACGGAAUUUCCAAGUAAUCAGCAGCCAAAAUGAGAUCAAACAACAAAUCAUUACCAGCUUCCUCAAGCAUCUCUUCAUCCCACUCAUUCAAUUUUUCUACUUCUUGUGGAUUAAGAAUCCGGCCUGCUGGUUUAAGAUGUUUCUCGCAGUAUUGAAUCACCUGAUACAUAGUAUGUCUAGUAACAUUAUAUAAAGGUAUUUCUUCUUUAGCACAACCGUCUUCAAUCAUGCGUUUGAUGGUUUGACAUAAAGAAAUUACCUUUUCUUCAACUUUAAACACUUCUCCAUCGCUAGUUCUUAACAUCACCGUCUUCUUUGGCUUCUUCUUCUUAUUCUUCCCUGGCAUUUCAGUUCCAGGUGGUCUGGUUUUCCAAAGUAAAGACAUUGUUGCAGAAAUUCAAAACCCUAGCUAAUUCGAUCAACAGAGAAAGAAUAGAAGAAAGAAAGAAAGAAAGAAAGGUUUUAGUGGUUUUCAA
rnacentral:lncRNA from 1 species